GACGAACGCUGGCGGCGCGCUUAACACAUGCAAGUCGAACGGAAAGGCCUGCUUUCCCUUGUGGAUUGCGGGUACUCGAGUGGCGAACGGGUGAGUAACACGUGAGUGAUCUGCCCCCAACUUGGGUAUAAGCCUGGGAAACUGGGUCUAAUUCCCGAUAGGACUGCAGGGUGGUGCCUGUGGUGGAAAACGAUUUUCUAGUGGUUGGGGAUGAGCUCGCGGCCUAUCAGCUUGUUGGUGGGGUAAUGGCCUACCAAGGCGGCGACGGGUAGCCGGCCUGAGAGGGGGGACGGCCACAUUGGGACUGAGAUACGGCCCAGACUCCGACGGGAGGCAGCAGUGGGGAAUAUUGCACAAUGGGCGGAAGCCUGAUGCAGCGACGCCGCGUGGGGGAUGACGGCCUUCGGGUUGUAAACUCCUUUCGACCGCGAGGAAGCCACCUGGUUGGAAGGGUGGUGACGGUAGUGGUAGAAGAAGCACCGGCUAACUACGUG
rnacentral:rRNA from 1 species